GACGAACGCUGGCGGCGUGCUUAACACAUGCAAGUCGAACGGAAGGGCCCUGCUUUUGUGGGGUGCUCGAGUGGCGAACGGGUGAGUAACACGUGAGUAACCUGCCCUUGACUUUGGGAUAACUUCAGGGAACUGGGGCUAAUACCGGAUAGGAGCUCCUGCUGCAUGGUGGGGGUUGGAAAGUUUCGGCGGUUGGGGAUGGACUCGCGGCUUAUCAGCUUGUUGGUGGGGUAGUGGCUUACCAAGGCUUUGACGGGUAGCCGGCCUGAGAGGGUGACCGGCCACAUUGGGACUGAGAUACGGCCCAGACUCCUACGGGAGGCAGCAGUGGGGAAUAUUGCACAAUGGGCGGAAGCCUGAUGCAGCAACGCCGCGUGCGGGAUGACGGCCUUCGGGUUGUAAACCGCUUUCGCCUGUGACGAAGCGUGAGUGAUGGUAAUGGGUAAAGAAGCACCGGCUAACUACGUG
rnacentral:rRNA from 1 species